GUAUGUUGGCUGGUCAAGAUGGAGUUUGUUGGUUGUGCAGAGCAGGAGGAGAAGGACUCAGUGUUGUGAGUAGCUGCCCGUAAGAAAUCACCAUGAAGAUUCAUGGGAAAUUACUGCUGAGACUUGCUUUAAGUUAAAUUACUGACUCCUCCCACGGCAUCCUUGUGGGUGAAAUUUGCUGGCCUUGUAACCUUUGCUUUUGAAGACUUCAAGGAAAAAACCUUCUAAGUUUUUCAGGAGAUGUGUUCUGUUAUUGUCAUGUGUUUUUGCAUGCUAGCAUACCUUGAACAAUAUACUUCAGUAAACAAUUACAUCUCCUGAAGCUAUCUUGCUCUAAAGAUCUGUAUGUCUCAAGUCUUAAUGGCAACCUUAACACAAAAUAUAGGCAUUCAGAUACUUAAACCACUUACUUGCUUGAAUAUGUAAUUGCCUUUCAUACAAAUAGAAGUAUAAAUAAUUAUUUCAUGUUUUAUAUAAUUAGAUCAAGUAAAUAAAAUUCCACUACAUUAGAAAUGAAACAUAUAGGCCAUUAAAAUAUGGAGAUUUUAUUAUAUGAAAUAUUUAUGUCUGUGUAUUUAUUCAAACAAUUAUGAUUCUCAUAAUAUCAAUUCUUUAUCUCAUUUUUUCAAGAGAUUUUUGAAGUGUGUCUAUAAAUUUACGUACAUGUUUAUAUGCACACACAUUGCAUGCCACCAGAAGGGCCUAGGAAAGGUAUAGAUUG